rnacentral:tRNA from 1 species
AUUAAGAUGGCAGAGUAGUGCCCUAAAGUUAAGGUUUAGAAAGGAAGUAAUUCUCUUAAUA